ensembl:lncRNA
AAACUAAUAUUUUAUAGUUUGUAUAUUUUAAUGCAAUUAAUUCAAAACACAGAAGGUAGGACCCAUUUGGGGGCUCUAAUGUACCUCCAUCAUCAAAGGGGGGUUCAACAGAAAGCGUUUUUUUUCAGGUUUAGGUUUAGAUACCGGCAAGGGUUAGGGUUGCGAUUGGGUUGGUAGAGGUUAUGGUUGGGGUACGUUUUCAGGAAAUGAAUGUAAGCCAAUGUAUUGUCCCAACAACUGUGUGUGUGUUUGUGUGUGUGUUUGUUUUUGAGAUGAUUGAAGUGCAAUGACUCUGCCUGGAGGCAGAAGCCACCCCAUUGUGGAGGUUGAACACAAGGCCAGACACCCGUUUCUGCCCCAAAUGAAUUAUGAAACGAAGCCAAGCGCGUUUUAUUCUCCACGCAACUGACACACCGAGGCUGAGGCCAAAGACCUGGGGAGGGGCAGAAUGAGGCCGGCAUGGCAGUGCUGAACAAGAAGAUAUCAAUACUGAGAAAGCAUGAAGGAAUUAAAACAACGACAAGUUAUUUUUUGUCACAAACGUACUCAACCCGGACCACCAUCUGUCCCUGAGCCUUAGCGAGUAAGAAAGUGACCUGGAAAGACCCGCAUAUAGAAAACCAUGCUAUGAACCAGAUCCCUCCUGUAUCAGCCCAUCCAUCUGCUGCAAGUCCUUCUCCCCAGAGCCCAGUGGGAGGUAACGCCGCGCUGUUCCUAGGCUGUGACGGGUGGAGACCGACUGUAACGUCACCAAUCACCAACUGACUCUUUGUGCCUACCCACGUCUCCCUCAGGCGGGGAGAAUUACUACAUACUUCAUGUCCGGGUUCCUUUCAGCUGUCUCCAAGAUCUUCAACCUAAACAUGCUUAUUGCCGCCAACAGACAGAAAGGACUGUGACACAUGCUUUUGUCUCAACCCACGUCCACCACUCCUACCAGCUUCCCCCUCUGCCUCCCUUGCAUUCACAUCUACUAUCAUGAAUGCUUGCAGAACAAACACUCCACCAAUUAGCGCUAUCAGCCUGCGGCGCCUUCGGUGAACCUCUUUGUUUGCAAAGAAAAAAAAGAAUAUUGGCUUCAACGACGUGACAAGAAAAGGGCCUGUCGUAAUGGAGCCGCUGCUUGCUGCAAAACACCCCAGACCAGAACAUGGGUGGGAUGGCCGAUAGUCCGGGAGAGAUUCCAGUGAUGAGGCCCACAUCGUUCCCAGAGCUACGACGGGAGCAUUUUAGGCCGUGAGAGCUACGCGCUCCGGCUGGUGCGUUUCGUUUGUUAGAUCGCCCGCUACGGUUUGGUCCAGCUACGUCGCUGCGGAGUGUUUGCUCCGACGGCAACUUAAUGCAGCUUCAUGAAGUAGAUCUUCUCAAACGUUAUCCUUUCGUCCUGCAUGCCUCUCUCAGUCCACCACACACACACACACACACACACACACACACCUUUCAGACGAAUAAAGAUUUAAUGCAAGUUAUCCACAAACUGAGUUGUGUAAAUCAAGAAGCUGGGGUUACGUAAGAAAGGGGUUUAGCCAACUACAAACAGCAAUGCGGAGGCCUGUAUGCUUCUCAGCUAAUGUAAUUAAUUGGAUUGUGCUGAUUAACAUACACAUUUAAUGUAUAUGCACUGUCAUUACUGACAAAUUCUUGGAAUGCCACUAAAGAAGAAUUCAAAACUUCCUCCCACUAAAGACGUAUCAUUACAUGGCAAUGAAACGGGGGUUCAAAUAUCCCUAAUAAACAGGUAUCAUUUAACAUUGGGGUUGUCUCAAGUUUGGUGAGGAAAGCAAGUGUUUGGAAAAUAAGCUAAAAUGUUUCCCAACAGUAAAUCAAAGAGUCCCACAAUUUGAUUUGUCCGUCAAUAUUGAAAUGCAACACGUCAAUUUGCUAUUAUUUUUUUUCAUUUUGCAUGUACACUGAAUGUAAACAUCAGGCUUUUUUUUUAUUUGUAUACACUUGCCUCCACUAGAGCACAAUGUUGAUCGAUGACUCCUGAGACUAAACUCGCAUUGCUGACUUGCAGCGUGGCCGUAGUUUGAGUUGUCAAUGACUGGCUGGUGUAUCUGCAUUGGGUCGGUUGGUCUAUUUAUCACAAUUUGAAUUCCCACAACAGAAAGAAACAGGUUAAGCAUAAUAAAUGUGUGGGCAUUAACCAAGAUAGAGCACAUUCAUUGUGUAAAAACAUGCACGAGGCACAUGUUGAAGGUAGCCGCAGCAGCAGCGUCGCUGUGAUAGUCAGUUGAGGGGGGGGCUGGCUUUCCAAUGGAUUGCAUCAAUUCUUUGUUCUAUGCCGUUAAACUACCACAGUGUCGGCCCACCCAUCGGCAAGUAAACAAUCUUCUGGCAUUUUGAGGUAAUCAUAAUACUGUUAGUACCAAAACAAUCUGGUGUGAAUCUGAGCAGCAGUUACAGCAGCGAGAGCAGAUGACCAUUAGCAGUUGUCAGGUCUAAUGCAGACGAGAUCACAGCAAUGUCUCAACACAAAUAUUGCCAUGUGGCAUCCUGUCCUCUUCUGCUUCGAGCUCUCCAGCACCUUCGAAUGUAAUACAGAAAACCAGCUUCGGAAAAAAAAAGGGGGGGGGGGGAGGGGGAGGCCGAAUGUGAUAAAAUAUGAAGAGUCUGAUGCCUUUUCCUCGCCGUUGUCUUAGUCUCAUUGCCACCCUGCUGUCGCCAAGUCUUCAGCCCUCUGCGCCCACACAGGGGUUUUCCUCACUGCAGGUGUUGGGAAUAUUUCCAAAUAUACCAAUCAGAAGUUCCCCAAAACAUACCUGCAUGGAUGGAAUCAAAGUGCCUUGCCCUUCCUCAGGUGUCUCCUGUCAAUUGUCUCCCCUGAUUCCUAAUUGUCUCCACCUGUUCCCUCACCUCCCUCAUGGAUACUUAUUGUCUGCGUCUCCCUUUGUCCUGUGCCAG